AUUAUAAUCUCAUUGUGUGGUCCUUUGGUCUCUUUAUUGAUCUUCUGCACAAGUGUGUCCUGCUGUUCAGUACAAGAUAAACAUGCUGCCUCUGGUGACUCAAAUGAGAAGGAAGUGGAACUACAGUUCAGUACUGAGUCUGAUUUCACCCAUCUGAUCUACACCAGCUUCACCUGAUGGUUCAGGAAACAUACCAGACUCAACAGAUCCUGCUGUGUAUCUGAUACCCACUGCCAGAUAAAACCACAAACACAGAAUUAAAUAUUAGUUCUUACUUGUUUUAUAAACUAUUUACAUAUUA